rnacentral:rRNA from 1 species
AGUGAACGCUGGCGGUAGGCCUAACACAUGCAAGUCGAACGGCAGCACAGUAAGAGCUUGCUCUUACGGGUGGCGAGUGGCGGACGGGUGAGGAAUACAUCGGAAUCUACUUUUUCGUGGGGGAUAACGUAGGGAAACUUACGCUAAUACCGCAUACGACCUACGGGUGAAAGCAGGGGAUCUUCGUACCUUGCGCGAUUGAAUGAGCCGAUGUCGGAUUAGCUAGUUGGCGGGGUAAAGGCCCACCAAGGCGACGAUCCGUAGCUGGUCUGAGAGGAUGAACAGCCACACUGGAACUGAGACACGGUCCAGACUCCUAAGGGAGGCAGCAGUGGGGAAUAUUGGACAAUGGGCGAAAGCCUGAUCCAGCCAUACCGCGUGGGUGAAGAAGGCCUUCGGGUUGUAAAGCCCUUUUGUUGGGAAAGAAAAGAAGCAGGUUAAUACCCCGCUGUUCUGACGGUACCAAAAGAAUAAGCACCGGCUAACUUCGUG